UAGCUCCUUUGUCAAAGACCAAGUGACCAU
rnacentral:piRNA from 1 species